rnacentral:RNase_P_RNA from 1 species
AGGCCGGUCUGCCGCUGGCCCCUGGGCGCAAGCCCGGAGAGCGAGAGGAAAGUCCGGGCAGCACAGGGCAUCCCGCUUCCUAACAGAAAGAGGUCCGCGAGGGUCUGUCGAUGUAGAAGAAAAGAACCGCCCCGCUUCGCGUGGGGUAAGGGUGAGAAGGUGGAGUAAGAGCCCACCAGGCCAGUGGUGACACUGGUGCUGUACAUCCCGGGAGCUGAAAGUUCAUGUAAACCGGCGACGCAUUGAGAGGGCGGCCCGCCCGAGCCGGAGGGUAGAACGAUAGAGGCUGAUGGUGACAUCGGCACUGGAUAAAUGGCAGGCACCCCCGCACUGCGGGGCAUACAGAACCCGGCUUACAGGCCGGCUGU